AAGCAUCUAUCUGACAGACCUGGAACAGGUCUGCUCAACUGUCUGCUGCUCAGAUGCUACAGAAAGUGUCCUUGGGCUUUCUGUCUGUCCAAUUGUGGCAGCCAAGAUUGAAUAAGGGAAUAAAUAU
ensembl:snoRNA